GAACGCUAGCGGCAGGCCUAACACAUGCAAGUCGAGGGAGGAGCUUUCGGGCUUCGACCGGCGUACGGGUGCGUAACGCGUAUACAAUCUGCCUUUCACAUAGGGAUAGCCCGAAGAAAUUUGGAUUAAUACCUAAUGGCAUAUAGGGGUGGCAUCACCUUUAUAUUAAAGCUGAGGCGGUGAAAGAUGAGUAUGCGUUCUAUUAGCUAGUUGGAGAGGUAACGGCUCCCCAAGGCUGCGAUAGAUAGGGGUUCUGAGAGGGAUAUCCCCCACACUGGUACUGAGAUACGGACCAGACUCCUACGGGAGGCAGCAGUGAGGAAUAUUGGACAAUGGUCGGAAGACUGAUCCAGCCAUGCCGCGUGCAGGAAGACGGCCUUAUGGGUUGUAAACUGCUUUUGCAGGGGAAGAAUAAGGACUACGUGUAGUUUGAUGACGGUACUCUGCGAAUAAGCAUCGGCUAACUCCGUGCCAGCAGCCGCGGUAAUACGGAGGAUGCGAGCGUUAUCCGGAAUCAUUGGGUUUAAAGGGUCCGUAGGCGGGCUAAUAAGUCAGAGGUGAAAGCGCUCAGCUCAACUGAGCAACUGCCUUUGAAACUGUUAGUCUUGAAUGGUUGUGAAGUAGUUGGAAUGUGUAGUGUAGCGGUGAAAUGCUUAGAUAUUACACAGAACACCGAUAGCGAAGGCAUAUUACUAACAAUUGAUUGACGCUGAUGGACGAAAGCGUGGGGAGCGAACAGGAUUAGAUACCCUGGUAGUCCACGCUGUAAACGAUGGAUACUAGCUGUUUGGUUGCAAGACUGAGUGGCUAAGCGAAAGUGAUAAGUAUCCCACCUGGGGAGUACGCACGCAAGUGU
rnacentral:rRNA from 1 species